UGCAUGGCUGGUCGUCAGCUCGUGUCGUGAGAUGUUGGGUUAAGUCCCGCAACGAGCGCAACCCUUGUCCUUAGUUACCAGCGGGUUAAGCCGGGAACUCUAAGGAUACUGCCAGUGACAAACUGGAGGAAGGCGGGGACGACGUCAAGUCAUCAUGGCCCUUACGACCAGGGCUACACACGUGCUACAAUGGUAGGUACAGAGGGCAGCUACACAGCGAUGUGAUGCGAAUCUCAAAAAGCCUAUCGUAGUCCAGAUUGGAGUCUGCAACUCGACUCCAUGAAGUAGGAAUCGCUAGUAAUCGCGGAUCAGAAUGCCGCGGUGAAUACGUUCCCGGGCCUUGUACACACCGCCCGUCACACCAUGGGAGUUGGAAGUGCCCGAAGUCAGUGACCCAACUGUAAAGAGGGAGCUGCCGAAGGCAAAGUCGAUGACUAGGGUGAAGUCGUAACAAGGUA
rnacentral:rRNA from 1 species